AUGGCCCUCAAUCAAGGCCUACAGUUUGUUAAAGCUAUUGGUUUCAAGCAGGUGCCUAAAGAAAUGUCUUUCUAUGGUCUGUUGGCCAUUUCAGAAAUUUGGAAAUAUAAUGGUAGAUUGAUUAGAAAGAAACGUGA
rnacentral:snoRNA from 1 species